AUUGAACGCUGGCGGCAGGCCUAACACAUGCAAGUCGAGCGGCUGAAGAGAGCUUGCUCCUGGAUUCAGCGGCGGACGGGUGAGUAAUGCCUAGGAACCUGCCUGGUUGUGGUGUAUAACGUCCGGAAACGGGCGCUCAUACCGCAUAAGUCCUUAGGGAGUACGUGGGGGAUCUUCGGACCUCCCGCUAUCAGAUGAGCCUAUGUCGGAUUAGCUAGUUGGUGGGGUAAAGGCCUACCAAGGCGACGAUCCGUAACUGGUCUGAGAGGAUGAUCAGUCACACUGGAACUGAGACACGGUCCAGACUCCUACGGGAGGCAGCAGUGGGGAAUAUUGGACAAUGGGCGAAAGCCUGAUCCAGCCAUGCCGCGUGUGUGAAGAAGGUCUUCGGAUUGUAAAGCACUUUUAGUUGGAAGGAAGAGCAGUAGGUUAAUACCUUGCUGUUUUGACGUUACCAACAGAAUAAGCACCGGCUAACUUCGUG
rnacentral:rRNA from 1 species